UUCAGAAGGUAGUUUUCAACACUAGUCAGCCAGUGGCUCUGAUUCAAACCUCUUAACGCGGUUCAACACCACCGAAUUGGGAAUCUUCUACCUUCUACUUCAGAGACGGCUAAGAUAUUGGCUGUACUGCUGAAUAUGUAAAACAUUCCAAGAUGAUAUGGUAAUAAACAGUUCAGAUUGAUGGAAUCAAAGCAGCUUCCUGGGUGCUCUUUCAAAAAAGAACCAACAAAUGACGAUGUAUAAAGAUUUGUUUGAUAAAGGUCCAGUGAAACCUAGGAGAGGAAAAAACUUUGGGAGUUCCAAUCGACUCUUUAGAAUGGCCAAAACUUCCCUCGAAAGCAACUUGGAGAGUUUCAUCUGUUGAAUCAUAUUUCUUCUAGUACAGUGACCGGAUGUAUAAUAGUCAUACAAAAUAAAGAAUAGCGAGAUUUUCGAUUGUUUUUACAAAGGAGGGACCUCUUUAGCUGAAGAGAACCCCCUUUUUGUGCAAAUAAGUCGCAAAUUCCUAUGAGCGAUUAAUUUGCAAACAUUGUGGAUUAUAUAUCCGGUCUCUGUACUCUAUAUAAGGGGUGUAACAAUGAAAUAAGUUUAUCGACCUGGGAAAGCAAUAUUGACCUGGGAAUACUGUGUAACAACUUGAAAUAUUAAAUACAUAAUUACAGUCAGUGUUGAUGCAUUUCCCUCUUUACGUUUGCAUCCUCAUUACUGUAGUUUUUAGUAGUGAUUUUUUUUACUCUAAAAUUAAAGCUCAUGAAAAGCUACUUCUGGUGUUAAUAGCUAGCUGUCAAGAAUUGUAUUGCUUCGUGCGUUUAGAGCUCCUGAACUUCCCAGUUUGCGUGGAAUUCUGCCGUUCGUUAGCUAUCCCCGUGUUUAGAGCUCCUAAACUUGAGAGCUGGCUUGGAGUUCUACUGGUGGCUCUCCUGGGGGAGAGGUAUUAGUCACCUUACUCUUGACCUUGACAGUAUGCCUGGAGCUUUACCGCUGGCUAUCUUUUGAAGGAGAUUAUCGAGGCCAUCUUACUCUUGAACUUCACAGUUUGCUUGGAGAACUGUCUCGUGUGGGAGAGUGUAGAGGCCAUGUGAACUUAAUAGCUUGCUUGGUGCUCAGUCACUGGCUAUCUCUUGUGGAAGAUUAUCUUUUGUGAUAUUGCAGAGUAUCUUACAGUGAAAAGUCCAAUUUACUUGCAACUGCAGGGUGCCAGUUUGCUUCGAGGUGUCACUGGCCAUCUUGCACCGUUGUGAGAUGGAGAAAAUAUGAAAAUACCAGUGUGCCGAAGUGUUCGAUGUUCUUAUA